GAAUAGAAGGUUUGGCCUGCUAAGCCGGCCAGAGACAUCAGCUCGUCUAAGUGGUCCCCGACCAAACGCGUAAGUUCAGCUUAUGUUGUGGGCAUUAAAUCUGUGGCUCGACCAGGCCUCAUCAAACCUCCCACACCAGCCACCUAGGAGGUACCAGCGAUGGUUCAGGCCAAGGUGAAUAUCUCAACAACCAGGAAGUAUUUUAGCGUGAAACCAAUUUGCUAAGAAAGCUAACUCAUCAAGGAAUCACUGAGGCUUGGAAGUACCAGAAAAGAUAUCCGGACCAGAAAAAUAUGAAUUUUACAAACCAGAGGUUCCCAGUCUGUCCAUCUGCUAGCUAGUAUCA
rnacentral:lncRNA from 1 species